UUGUAAAUGACUAUAAAUCAAACCAACGUAUGUCACGCUGCCUUCACUCCGAUUGGCAGUUGCCGUGUCGCAUCACUCAGCAUUUGCAUAAAACAGACUUCUUGUCUAUUUUGGCGCCACCUAGCU